rnacentral:rRNA from 1 species
UACGUAGGAUGCAAGCGUUGUCCGGAUUUACUGGGCGUAAAGCGCGCGCAGGCGGCACAUUAAGUAAGGUGUGAAAUAUCCCGGCUCAACCGGGAGGGUGCACUUUAGACUGAUGAGCUUGAGGUCGGUAGAGGGGGGUGGAAUUGCUGGUGUAGCGGUGAAAUGCGUAGAGAUCAGCAGGAACACCCGUGGCGAAGGCGGCCCCCUGGGCCGUACCUGACGCUGAGGCGCGAAAGCUAGGGGAGCAAACGGG